AGAUACCCUAUUAUUAGCAGCAUAAAUAGGUGACUUAGGUAUUAAUUGGUGUUCAUGAAACCUAGAGAAUUUGGCGGUGCCCUAGUCUUUUUAGAGGAACCUGUCCUAUGAUCGAUAAUCCACGUUGUUAUUACCUACCUUGGUUAUCAGUUUGUAUAUCGCCGUCAGAAGGGAAUUUUUUGAGAAUAAUAAUUCUUUUGAUAUUGAGGGGUAAGAUGACAGGUCAAGGUGCAGCUAAUGGGUAGGGAGGAGAUGGGUUACAAUAUGUGAAAUGUAUAUGGAUUCUUGCGUAGAGGUGGGAUGAAGGUGGAUUUAAGAGUAAUUCUUACGAACUGGGGGUGAAGGUGGCUCUAGGGUGUGCACAUAUC
rnacentral:rRNA from 1 species